CGAUUGUUCGGCUGAGAAUACGGUAAGUCAGUCUUUUAUGGAGCUUUUCGUUCGCGUUUCUAUUUUGUCAUGAAUGGUUUGAUCUUGAAAUGUUAAACUUCUCAUGAGCAAACGGUUAACGUUACUCUGUUCUCAGCGCUUCAUGCAGUAACACUGAUGUUUCAUCUUAUAGACAACCUUAGCAUAUGUUAUUCUUACAACCUGAUUUUUAAACUGUUUUGUUUAUUUUGUUUUGUUUUUUUCUCUCGUUUCAGGCUCAAUCAUCUGAUGUGCUCCAUUGUUUACGCUCUUUGACAUAUCCCCUAAACAUGGCUCAAGAACCAGGAAGGGGGGAAAAUUACCUUCUGUGAAAUAUGGUUAUGUUAACGUACUUUGACAUCAACCAUGAACACGGCUCAAGAAACAAGAAGGGAAAGUGACUUCCAAGACUGGCAACACUG